rnacentral:rRNA from 1 species
CCUACGGGCGGCAGCAGUGAGGAAUAUUGGUCAAUGGGCGCAAGCCUGAACCAGCCAAGUAGCGUGAAGGAUGACUGCCCUACGGGUUGUAAACUUCUUUUAUACAGGGAUAAAGUGCGGCACGUGUGCCGUUUUGUAUGUACCUUAUGAAUAAGGAUCGGCUAACUCCGUGCCAGCAGCCGCGGUAAUACGGAGGAUUCGAGCGUUAUCCGGAUUUAUUGGGUUUAAAGGGAGCGUAGAUGGGUUGUUAAGUCAGAUGUGAAAUGUGGCGGCUCAACCGUACAAGUGCAUUUGAUACUGGCAGUCUUGAGUACAGUUGAGGUAGGCGGAAUGCGUGGUGUAGCGGUGAAAUGCUUAGAUAUCACGAAGAACUCCGAUUGCGAAGGCAGCUUACUAAACUGCCACUGACAUUGAUGCUCGAAAGUGUGGGUAUCAAACAGGAUUAGAUACCCUAGUAGUC